rnacentral:rRNA from 1 species
AACGUAGGUGGCGAGCGUUAUCCGGAUUUACUGGGCGUAAAGAGCCCGCGGGCGGUCUUGCAGGUCGGUUGUGAAAUCUCCUGGCUCAACUGGGAGGGUGCGACCGAAACCGUGAGACUUGAGGGCCGGAGAGGGGCAUGGAAUUCCCGGAGUAGUGGUAAAAUGCGUUGAGAUCGGGAGGAACACCAGUGGCGAAGGCGAUGCCCUGGCCGGAACCUGACGCUUAGGGGCGAAAGCGUGGGGAG